AUGGUGCUGCCCAGGCUGCUGAAGCUGCUCAUGGCAUCAAUGUGGCUGGGAUCCAGUUUUGCCCAGAAGGUGACUCAGGCCCAGCCAGCCAUGUGGGUGCAGGAGAAGGAGGCUGUGAGCCUGCUCUGCUCCUAUGACACCAGUGAGACACGUUAUGGUCUCCUCUGGUACAAGCAGCCCAGCAGUGGGGAGAUGGUCUUCCUCAUCCUUCAGAACUCUUACAGCCAGCAAAAUGCCACUGAAGGUCGCUACUCAGUGAAUUUGCAGAAGGCAAGCAAAUCCAUCCAGCUUGUCAUCUCAGCCUCACAGCUGGGGGACUCAGCCGUGUAUUUCUGUGCACUGAGAGAGGGCACAGUGGGAGGACUGUUGGAGGGAGAUGCACAAAAACCCAGGGUCUGCCUGAGAUAGCCACCUGCUGUAGGGACCAACGCAGGGAGUGGGCACCCCAGACAGGAAGUGGCAGGGCUGUGUCAGCUCAUGUCUGGGGUUGGAGGGAAAACACUCACUCUGAGGAACCCCUCUCUAGGU